CGUAGCCGGUUUAAUAAGUCUUUGGUGAAAGCUUGUAGCUUAACUAUAAGAAUUGCUGGAGAUACUAUUAGACUUGAAGUCGGGAGAGGUUAGAGGUACUACCGGGGUAGGGGUGAAAUCCUAUAAUCCUGGGAGGACCACCUGUGGCGAAGGCGUCUAACUAGAACGAUCUUGACGGUGAGUAACGAAAGCCAGGGGCGCGAACCGGAUUAGAUACCCGGGCAGUCCUGGCCGUAAACGAUGUGGACUUGGUGUUGGAAUGGCUUCGAGUUGUUCCAGUGCCGAAGGGAAGCUGUUAAGUCCACCGCCUGGGAAGUACGGUCGCAAGACUGAAACUUAA
rnacentral:rRNA from 1 species